rnacentral:sRNA from 1 species
CGUUUUUUUACUUAAACUCUCACGCGGCACCGACACAGGCAUCCGGGUGCCCCUGUCCAGCGGUAAGGAUCAGGGGUUGGUGCAUGGGGUCCGCGGCGGAAACAAC